GAGAAGGAAAUGGCAACCCACUCCAGUGUUCUUGCCUGGAGAAUCCCAGGGAUGGGGGAGCCUGGUGGGCUGCCGUCUUUGGGGUCACAGAGUCGGACGCGACUGAAGCAACUUAGCAGCAGCGGCAGCAUCAGCUGCUGAAAGAAAAUUCGGAUAAUUUGCUGAAAGCAAAAAGAGAGCCAGUACAAUAUGAGAAUCUUGACUGGUCAACAUCUGAUUUGACUUGUUCAGAGACUUCCUCUAUGGGAAUACAGAAAGUAGAAGAGUCACUUCCCAACCACUGCUGCAUCUUGGGAGCAUAGGACUCAGAUAAAGUUCAACACUGUUGGUAUGUUUAUGUGAAUUUAUGCAUAUAUAUAUAUGUAUGUUUAUAUAUGUAAUUGGAUAUAUACACACAAGUAUAUACAAUAAGAUUAAAAGUGAGUACUCUAGGAGUUCGAUGGCAUUACCGAUUCAAUGGACAUGAGUCUGAGCAGGCUCCAGGAG
ensembl:lncRNA